AACAGGUUAUUAAAAAAAAAAAAACACGUUAUUACCAAAAAAGACGUCUUUAGGUUAAAAAUAAUAAACCCCAUGGCUACAUAGAUAAUGCAGAUCUAGUUUUCUAGUCAAUGGGCACAAAGCAAGCACUUAAGGUCUUCAGCUCCAAUCUUUUGUUCAUUUCUUAUUGCUGGAAUUUCAUAUUCGUUUCUUCUUGUUGGAUGACUAAACUGGAUGAUGGUAGAGAUGGUAAGCCAGCAUUUACUCAGCCCCACCCUGCUCAGCCUCCAGAGCAGAUAAAUUCUCAUCUGGUGGAUUGGCUGCUUUUGUCUCUGUGUCUGUAAUUCAAGUUGUGGUGGUACCAACGUUGAGGUGGCUGCUGACCUUGGGUCUCCUCUCCUUUAUUCUCUUUAUCCUCUUCAUUGCCAUCCUCUCUGGGCUGUCUUCAGUGAGGAGGGCCCCAGCAGAAUCCUGGUUUAUAACCCUGAUACAAAUUCUGUCUUACUGGUCCAGGAGAACAAGGUCUUUCUUGUUCUCCUGCACCUGAUUGUCAGCACCCUCCAGGGUUGGAAUACUGUGGUCUCUGCAUGCAAUAAGGUGGGAACCUUCACCUGUGGUAGGGCCAGCAUUGUUGGGCCUGGCUUUCAGGAGCACUCUCUGAUCCCUCAUUCUUUUCCCUGCACUCACUGUUAUGGUAAUUCUGCUGGUAUUUGCAUGGAGGACCCUUACAGCGCCUAUAAUGGUUACAAUCUGCUGCAUAUUUACUGCCUUGAACUGGAAUUCCACCAGGGUCUGUAACAUUGCUGCCUCCGUACCCUUUUCUCCUACAACAUUAAACUCCACAGUCUCUCCAUUUCCUACACUGCAAAGGUACUUACCCGUGGUUAUUCUCCUUUAUGGCAGUUUGGUGCACAAAUACAUCUUCCUUUGUGUCAUUCCUGUUGAUGAAACCAUAUCUGUUUCUGACACUGAACCAUUUUACUGUUCCAAAAACAUUCCUUGUGAUGAUACUCUUGUCCCACCAGCAGGCGCUGCUGAUGUGAGACCACCUGGGCCACAGCGGUGCAGCUCUGAGGGUGGGGCGGCAGGUGGCUGCUGGGUCUCAGCCUUGCUGCUCACUCACGGUUGCGGUGAUGGUGACUGGGGUGGGCUGGGGCAGCUGUGGCUCCUCCCCAUGUGUGAUGGUAACUAGGCUGACAGUGGGGCUGCUCAGGACUCUGGGGUGCACUCUCCGCUCCUGCUACCAAUCAAGCUGGGGACUAGUAUUCUUUUUUUUUUUGUUUGUUUAUUUUGUUUUUUGGAGACAGUCUCACUAUGUUGCCCUCAGUAGAGUGCUAUGGCGUCACCAUUUACAGUAACCUCAAACUCAUGGGCUUAAGCUAUUCUCUUGCCUCAGCUUCCCAAGUAGCUGGGACUACAGGCGCCCACCACAACACCUGGCUAUUUUUUGGUUGCAGUUGUCAUUGUUUAGCUGGCCUGGGCCAGGUUUGAACAUGCUAGCCUGGGUGUAUGUGGCUGAAGCCCUACCCACUAAGCUACAGGCACUGCCCAAGGGACUAGUAUUCUUAGCAAGGUUUUGUAAUGUUCCUUCUGUGGAAGCCAUCUCAAAAUAUGUAAAAGAAAUGUAUUUGGGGGUAUUUUAAUUUUUUUUUCAGUCUUUAUUUUUUGAAAUUAAAAGAUUUUAUAUAUUAAAAUCCAAUAUGUUAUCUUAGUACUAAGAAGCAAGAAAGAAGAAAAAAAUAAAUUGGAACAAAUCUGACUACUGUAUAUAAUUUUAUAAUUUUUAGCUAGUCUCUUAGUCUUGUGAACAGUUCAGUUUAGUUAAACAGCUGUGUCUUAUUUUAUGACCUGGCUUUGUAGACAAGGCUAGAAUUGAAUACAGGUGGAUUAUAGCAUCUAUUUAUUUGACAAAGUCUCACUGUGUCACCCUCUGUAGAGUGAAGUGCCAUCACAGCUCACAGCAACCUCAAACUUUUGGGCUCAAGUAAUUCUCUUGUCUCAGCCUGGGACUAUAGGCACCUGCCACAACAUCCGGCUAUUUUGUUGUUGUUGUAGUUGUCAUUAUUUGGCAGGCCCGGCCUGGAUUCGAACCCGCCAGCCCGAGUAUAUAUAGCUGGCACCCUAGCCACUGAGCAAUAGUUGUGGAACCUAUAGUUUUUAUUUUUGAAUAAUAUUUAACUCUCUCUGAUUUUCUAUUUUAUUAAAGAUAAAUUAUAGCAGAAUGAUCAAUUUAUUUACAAAAAUAAUUUUCAGUGUAUUUGGCAUGAUUAUUUGCAUAAAGUCCAAUAAGAAUAAUUAAUAAGUCAUAUAGGAUGUUUUUCUUUUAAAAUUGACUUUUCUGGAACUUUUUUAUUUUUUUUUGUUUGAGAUUCAUUGAGGGUACAAAGAAUCAGGUUGCACUGAUUGCAUUUGUUAAAGUCCCUCUUAUACUUGUGUCCCACCCCCAAGAGCUGUGCCAUACUGUGUCCCCUAUUCCUCUCCCAUCUCUCCUCUCCCUACUUCCUCAUUCCCUACUCCACCCCUUGUAUUAGCUCAUUUACUGCCUUCAUAUUAGAAUUGAGUAUAUUAGAUUCUUGCUUCUCCAUUCUCGUGAUGCUUUACUAAGAAGAAUGUGUUCCACUUCCAUCCAGGCUAAUACAAAGGUUGCAAAGUCUCUAUCUUUUAUUUAUUUAUUUAUUUAUUCUGAAACGGAGUUUCACUAUGUUGCCCUAGGUUGAGUGCCGUGGCAUCACAGCUCAUAGCAACCUCAAACUCUUGGGGCUAAGUGUUUCUCUUGCCUCAGCCUCCUGAGUAGCUUGGACUAUAGGUGUCCACCAAACACCUGGCUAUUUUUUGGUUGCAAUUGUCAUUAUUGUUUAGCUGGCCCAGGUUGGGCUCAAGCCCGUCAGCUUCGGUGUAUGUGGCCAGCGCCCUACUCGCUGAGCUACACGUGUCGAGCCUCUUUAUCUUUUUUAAUGGCAGAAUAAUAUUCCAUGGUAUACAUAUACCACAGCUUGUUAAUCCAUUCCUGGGUUGGUGGGCAUUUAGGUCAUUUCCACAUUUUGGCAAUUGUAAAUUGAGCUGAUAUAAACAGUCUAGUGCAAAUGUCCUUAUGAUAAAAGGAUUUUUUUUUUCUUCUGGGUAGAUGCAUAGUAAUGGGAUUACAGGAUCAAAUGGGAAGUCUAAUUUGAGUUCUGUGAGGAUCUUCCAUACUUCCUUCCAAAAAGGUUGUAUUAGUUUGCAGUCCCACCAGCAAUGUAAAAGUGUUCCCUUCUCUCCACAGUCAUGCCAGCAUCUGCAUCUUUGAGACUUUGUGAUGUGGGCCAUUCUAGUCAGGGUUAGGUGAUAUAUCAGGGUGGUUUUGAUUUGCAUUUCUCUGAUGAUUAGGGAUGAUGAGCAUUUUUUUCAUAUGGAACAUUUUUAUAAGGAAUUUCAGGUUUGACGUGAAAGUCUCUCUUGAACUAACUCGGUCCAGAGUGCUAGGAUUAUAGGCCACCCAGUUUACAAAUGUUUUGUUUUUCCUUGUUUUUUGAGACAGAGUCUCACUUUAUUGCCCUCAGUAGAGUGCUGUGGCAUCAUAGCUGACAGCAACCUCAAAGUCUUUGGCUGAAGCAAUUCUCUUGCCUCAGCCUCCCAAGUUGUUGGGAGUACAGGCGCCCGGCACAACACCCAGCUAUUUUUUUGUUGCAUUUGUCAUUGUUGUUUAGCUGGCCCAGGCCCGGUUCGAAUCCACCAGCCUCUGUGCAUGUGGACUGUGCUGUAACCACUGUGCUGAGCUUACAAAUGGUUUUUAAAUUCUGGAGAAAUUAAGUAGAGAGAUAAAUAAAUGUUUCAAAUUUUGUUUACAUAUACAUACAUUGUUGUGGGCUAUAAAUAGUUCUGAAGCCAGAAAGGUGGCCUACAAGAUGGAGUCUGAGAAGCUAAGCUAAAGCAGUAUAGAUAACCUAGUCUGCUGAGUUCGUUCUUCCCCACACCCCCUUCCUCUGUGAUGACCUAGUGAGGAUGCUUAUCUCAGGAGACUCUGAGGAAGUAUUCACACAAAGGCAAUAGAUGUUGUGAUAUUAGUAAAGAUUAUUUUGAUAAUAUGUUUUCUCUGAUGAUUCUCUUAUUUUGUUAAAGUGAAAAUUACCUUUCUGUUGUUUAAACAGUUUGCAUUGUUAGAAUGGAGACUACUUUGAUGUUACUUCUCAUCAGAUAAAGUUAAAAUUUUCUUGGGUUAUUUCCUUGUUUUUCAGUAUAAAAACUAUUACAAUUGUAACUGAGGUAGAACAGAAUUGAGAGCCUACUCUCACUGUUCUCCAGAAUCAUUGGCCUUCUGAUAAUAAAGCUUGUUUUUUAGUUCUGUUUUAUUUUUGAGACAGACUCUCAACUUUGUUGCCUUGGGUAAAGUGUUGUGGCGUCAUAGCUCAUAGCAACCCCAGUCUCCUGAGUCUGAGCAAUCCUUUUGUCUCAGCUCCUGAGUUACUGGGACUAUGGGCACCAACCACAAUGUCUGGCUAGUUUUUCUAUUUUUAGUAGAAACAAGGUGUCAUUCUUGCUCAGGCUGGUCUCGAACUCCUGAGAUCAAGCAAUCCAUCUGCCUCGGCCUCCCAGAAUGCUAGGAUUACAGGUGUAAACCACUGUACCUGGCUGAUAAUAAAGCUUGUUUGGACCUAAAGCCUGUCUCUGCAUAUUGGCUAGAAAGUGACAGGUGGCUGGAUCCUCUUCAUCCGGUAACAUUUCUGGCAACCACAAAAGAACCCCUGGACUGCAAUGGUAAGUGCCAUGCUGGGGGAGCCUAGUGGUUGCCUGGACAGGUGAGCCUAGGUACUCAGAGGCUCCUAGCAGUGCUGCCUGGAGAUUUCUCCUGGACAUCUUUAGGCUCUGCUCUCACGCACCCACCAUGGCCAUCACUAAGGUCCACCUGCUUUAUUCUGGUUUGUGGGCUGAGAGAUUUCAUUCUCUCCUGUUUUUCUGAUUUCCCUCUGUGGUUAUUCAGAACAUGAGAUCUUAGGCCUCAAUCCCAGCUGACAGCCUAUUGGGGCAUAUUCUGUCUGAUUGGUCUCAAUAUCAGUACCUGCUGAUGACGAAAAAGGCAAUAAAAUUUUACUGUAACACGGCCUGACCCAUGUAUCACCUUGAAUCGGGAGAAAAGUGGCCUUUGAAUAGAUCCUUAAAUUUUUAUACCAUUCUACAGGUACAGUACUUUUGUCAAAGAUCAGGGAAAUUGGGGGAAAGCCCCUGUAUACAAGCCUUUAUGACUUUGCACAAUUAAGGAUGCUGGUUCUAAGGGCAACCUGCUUAUGGUACACAAAGAAGCAAAACCAGAACCUAAGGGAAGCAAGGGGGGAGUAAACAAAUGUGUGUAAUGAUGAUGCUAAUGUUUGUAUUGAGCAGGACAUUUUUUGAGGAGCAUGUAGUGUCUGUAGACCCAGAACACCAAGUGCUCCUGUACCAGAAGAGGAGGAACUUGCUUCUCCUUACUCGGCUGAAGGAGGUUUGGAAGUAAAUUUGGUCAGGGGACCCAAGGAGGUAAGGUGGGGCAAUACCCUCUGUGCCAAAUGUCAGUGGGAGUAAAUCAGCACUGCCAGGCUGCUGGAUACUAUUGGACAGAAACACCCUUCUGUACCUCUGAUCUAUUAAAUUGUAAAAAUACCAACUCCCCUUUCUGUUCAGACCCUGUUAAAGUGACUAGCUAAUAACUAUUAUCUUUGCUACUCACCACCCCAAUUGGGCUGAUAUACAAGCUUUUAAAUAUAAUCCUCACCAGUGAUGAAAGGCAGCUGGUACUGGAUAAAGCACAAGGUGAAGCCAUCUGACUCCAUAAUAAGGAUAGAGAUAAUAUACCAGCACCAGAGGCUGCUAUUCUGUUGACAGAACCAGACUGGGGUCUGAAUAACAAUGGGUUGCCUCUCCUCGGUCAUUAUAAAAUAUGUCUUUUGGCAGUAUUAUAGAAAGGAGUUCCCAGCCAAAGAAGUCUGAACACAGUACAGGCUAUGCAACAAAAAGCAACUAAGGACCCAUCUGAGUUUCUGGAGAGAGUGUAUGAUGCCUCUCUCCAGUACACGGACAUGGAUCCUUAGGCUCCUGAAAAUCAGCAAAUGAGACUCACAGCCUCCAGAUAGAGGUCCCACAUGAGCAUGCUUGGCAACUACUUCUCCAACAACCUGAAACAGACCUGAUGGCCGAAAGAAAUCAACGAGCAGAAGACAGAAAGUCAAUGCCUCCAUGAACUUGAGAGAUUGGAUAAAUAGUUACAUCAAACCCUUGCCAUCAACGACAAUUCAACUAAAUGUAUUUGGCCAUUUUAAGGAGGGAUUGUGGCUGGAUUCUGCAUUGGUGAAGUUGGAAAUACCUGCAAAUUCAUCCCCGACUGGAAUGGUCCCCCAGAUUGAGUAGGAACUACUACAGACUGUCGUGUUGUUCCUGUAAUUCCUACCCACUGUAC